ACUGAGGAGUGGGUCAGGCCUGGCUCCCCUGUGCUGCCUAAUGCCAGGUAACACAUAUCAAGCUCCCACGUGUUUCUGCUGGAACCCCUGAUACUCAGGUCAUCAGAACAAUAUUUUAACCUGGUGACUUCCGGUCAAUCAGGCAAGAACCCUAUUGUCCAGACUACUUGCAAUCAACAUGAGCUCUUGCUAAUAACAGCUCCUCACGUGGAAGAGUAACCAUUCCUAUAAAUUAAUGACAAACCAGUGGCAAAGCGGAAUAAAGAGAAAAGCAAAAGAAGCGAGGGGAUGUUAUUUCCAAAAUUACAGGCUGCUCUUGGAAAGGAUCCCAAGCCCUUAUGGAAUCAGAAUUGAGCUCCGCACCACCAGGGGGCGCGACAGGCCCGCUUGCCCCGGAUCCGCCCCGGGAGACGCCGCUCUAGGCCGCGGCCCGCGCUCCCGCUGCAUUUACGCCGGCGCUGGGCGGGUGAGGCGUGUCCUGUUGCUGCUCCUGCUGCAGCCGCCCGGGCCUAUCUCCCGCAAUCCCCAGACAUCCGCAUCUUCCCGCGCUGUCGGCUCUGUCAGCGCCGCUGUCCUGCGUCGUAGUCGAGGAGCCCGGGGCCGUGCGAGCUCUGCGACUGUCUUGGAAGCAGAUGGAGACUGUCCCUUGGACGGCUUUGCGGGCCGAGCCGCAGGCAGCACGCACCCCUUUCUGCCCCGCAGGACCGUGGUCCGCAGCGCCAGAUGCCCCCCCACCCCCGUGUGCAGGGCUGAGGCCUGCUGGGAGUGUGUCGUGACUGCUGUUCCAUGUAUGUGAGAGGUGACGUCAGGAAAACCUGUAUCAGGAGGUCCCAGGUGGAUCUGCACGUGCAGAGGCUCCGUGAGAGGUGUCGUCUUACCAGCUGGGGGCUAGGCCCUGGGGCCCGAGCCGGCUGACUGGUGCCUUUCGUGCUGUGCUCUGCCAAUGUGUUCCGGGAGCAGAAGCCCCGCUGUGGUGCCUUCACUCUCUAGACAGAGAGAGAUACAGCCUGGUGCCCUGAGAGAUGACAGCCACGUGCCCCUGAGAGAUACAGCCUGGUGCCCUGAGAGGUCAGCCUUAGAUCUGGAACUGUUGAAGGAAGUCCCAAGGCUGUGAGUCCCUGACCUUUGGGAUGACUUGGCAUCUGGGUUUGCUGAUAUGUCUCCCCAAGUCUCACCUGUCUUUUGGUUUUUUAGAUUCUCUUGGUGUUAGUGGACAGCAGAGGAGCAGAGGAUGGAGAGGGAGUCCCCGUGGGAAGUGUCAUCUCCUGCUGUGACUCAGGGCAUCAUGGAUCAGCUCUUCACACAGGAGAUCAGAGGGAAGGAGCUGGGGCUGGGCUCCAUGUCAGCUGGCUCUGAGUCUUGACAGCAGUGCCCCGAGAAGCCAUGGACAGGGAAGGCCAGCCCCGUGUCCCUCUGCUAUGCCUGGAAUGACCUUAGUGACCAAGACUGUUUCUCUAGAAUUGCAGCUGGGCAUCACUUUACUCUCUGCAUCCCCCCCGCCCCCCAUCCAGUAAACCUUAUAGAUCCCUGUGUCUGCCUUCUAAGUCUGUAACAUGCCGUGUGCCACCGAGGCUGGAUGUGGAGAAGUGGAUCACAGGCCAGUGUUGUUUCCCCGCUGGGCCUCUCCGGUCAUGCUCCUGGGGCUUGGCACACAGGCUGCAGUCCGAGGUGUUGCGUUAGGACUGGGAUAGUAGCCGGCCCAGAUUCAGGCCCACGAAAGAGUGAAGGUCGAGGAACAGUCAGGCCAGGGCUUCAGAAGAGUGGCUGGUAGGGGCUCCUGGGUGGCACAGCGGUUAAGCGUCUGCCUUCGGCUCAGGGCGUGAUCCCGGCGUUAUGGGAAUCGAGCCCCACAUCAGGCUCCUCUGCUGGGAGCCUGCUUCUUCCUCUCCCACUCCCCCUGCUUGUGUUCCCUCUCUCGCUGGCUGUCUAUCUCUGUCAAAUAAAUAAAUAAAAUCUUUAAAAAAUAAAAAAAAUAAAAAAAAAAGAAGAGUGGCUGGUGACUGGGCUGGAGUGAGGCAGGCACUGAUGUCAUUGAGGAAGCUGGGGAGGCCUGAGCUCUGGGGCCUGGCUCGUGAGUAAAUGCCUGCUUGUGUGGCCAGCUGUCCUAGUUUGCCUGGGAUUGAGGGAUUUCCCAGGACAUGGGACUUUCAUUGUUAAAUCCAGAAAGGUCCUGGGCAAACUGGGAUGAGUUGGUCAGCUUACUUGGGAGUAAAAUACGUGAUGUCGGCUUGAGAAGACAGGUUACUGCGUUACGGUGGGAGGGAGCAGGGUGAACGUGGGGCAGCUGCCAUGGGUGGACCUCGUGGGUAUCCUCAGGGUCAGGCUUUUGGAGAUACUGUGGUAAAUCAGUAAUUGCAAUAAUGUGAUGAUGGUCUGAGGAUGUGCAUAUGGGAACUUUUUAAUUCCCAUGUUGUAAAUGGACAGGUCUCCAUGAGGAAAUAGAUCCCAAAGGCCAUGAUGAAAGGCUAGAGUUAAUUGUCCAAUUUCUGCAUUUGAAAUUGAACUUGCCUUGAUGAGUUGGACACCUUGAUGGGCUCUUCUGCGGGGGCAGGCGUUCCUUGUGGCUGAAGUAUUCACUCUGCCAGCCAGUUCCUGACAUCCAGAAGUCAAAAGUUGUCUUUUUUGACUUUCCUGUGGACUGUCUUGACUAUUUUUUUUCUAGUAGUCUUUACUCACCUGGUUGUAGCUUCCUGGAAAGAUGCCAAGGGAAGGAUCUGGGUCCACGUGAGAAAACUGUGCCUGGUUGGUAAUGCUUGCUGCCGUGGAGGGGCAGCAGCAGAACACGGGCCAGUACUUAAAAAGUGUGCAUGGAGACACUUGGCGCAUCCCACCGGGCACCAGGUCGUGCCCGCCUCGCACUGCAGCAUGGGAAGCAGGAGCCAUGCCAGAUCUUGAGGGCCUGAGGAAAUCUGAGGCGAGCAUUUCAACCAACGUGACCCAGGAACCAGGCUUAACGGCAGGGAGCUAUGAUCCUUGCUGGGAAUGUGCAAGCUUCCUGGAGGGCCUGGUGGCGCAGGGAGUGGAGAUUUCCAUAGCAGAACUGAGAGCUACGUGCAUGGGGAGCUGGUCAGAGGAAGGUCCAUCCAUUACAAAGAAAAGCAUUUAUUUAUGCUGUUACGAGCCAGACGCCAUGCUGAAAGCCUGUGGAACGUGCAUUUGUGGUAGGCAGUGCCGGAGGUAUUGGGGAUACUGCUCCAGACAAAACACGGGAGGCCUCAGAGCUUCCUCAGAACUGUAGUCCGUGAUGGUAAGCCAUUAGCCGUGUGUGGCUGUUUAAAUUGAUUUAAAAAUGUAAGGUUCACAUUACCACUUGCACCAGCCAUAAUGCAAGCGCUUGUAGCCGCAAGGGGCUGCCGUGUUGGGUAGUGCACGUAACAGACCUGUCACUGCAAGAAGUGUGUGUGGGAAAACCCACGGGCCCAAAGUGGUGUCAGCCAAGUCCCCAAACCCGGGCUUAAUACCUAAUGUAAUUGGAGUUUCACCCUCCCCCAGAAAUGGAGUCUUACCUGGUCCAUCAGAAGUUCUCUGAUGGUGCCUGGGAGUCUACCACAGGGACCCCCUCCAUCCCCACAGGAAGAUGAAGUAAUUUGCAUGUUUGGACCCAGUCCUGUUCCCCCUAAGGGAAAGCCUUAUCUGGAACAGUUCUUUUCUUUUGCAAAUAAGUUUCUUGCCCUACCUCCCUUCUGUAAAAACCUUUCAUUUUGUUCAAUCCCCUGGAGCUCCCCUCUGCCUGUUAGAUGGGUUGCUGCCUGACUCGUGAAUUGUUUAAUAAAGCCAACUCGAUCUUCCGAA